CCUACGGGGGGCAGCAGUGAGGAAUAUUGGUCAAUGGACGAGAGUCUGAACCAGCCAAGUAGCGUGAAGGAUGACGGCCCUAUGGGUUGUAAACUUCUUUUAUAUGGGAAUAAAAUGUUCCACGUGUGGGAUUUUGUAUGUACCAUAUGAAUAAGGAUCGGCUAACUCCGUGCCAGCAGCCGCGGUAAUACGGAGGAUUCGAGCGUUAUCCGGAUUUAUUGGGUUUAAAGGGAGCGUAGGUGGGUUGUUAAGUCAGUUGUGAAAGUUUGCGGCUCAACCGUAAAAUUGCAGUUGAAACUGGCAGUCUUGAGUACAGUAGAGGUGGGCGGAAUGCGUGGUGUAGCGGUGAAAUGCUUAGAUAUCGCGCAGAACUCCGAUUGCGAAGGCAGUUCACUGGACUGCAACUGACACUGAGGCUCGAAAGUGUGGGUAUCAAACAGGAUUAGAUACCCCGGUAGUC
rnacentral:rRNA from 1 species